GUUACAGUUCCCGCCUCGCCCCGCUAGGUGGCGCCCCGAGCCCGGUUGCGGGGCUCUAGAGCGGCCGCAGCUGGAGGCUGCCCCGGCAGCUCGGAGGCAGCGGCUGGGCGCGUCCGGGCAGCCUGGCUGAGGGAAGCGCUCGGGCGGCGCUCGCUGUGCAGCCGCCGGGCCUGGGCGGGGAGGAGCCGGGGCUGCCAUGAGCGCAGGCGGGGGCCGGGAGGAGGGAGCCGCCGCCGCCGCGGUGCUGCAGCUGCUCCGGGAGCAACCGGAGCCCCAGGCGGAGGAGAGCGGGGCUCAGCGCUUCGCCCUCUGCCUGCCCCCUGGGGAGGAGGUAAAAGAAGUAGAAGAAACCAUAGAAGAGAUGUUAAUAAGGCUGGAUGAGUUCUGUGGCAUGACUGAUGUGAUUAGAAGCGAUACAUCCCAGAUCCUGGAUGAGACCAUUCCGCUCAUUAAAGCCAAGGUGGUAGAAAUGAACAACAUCUAUGCCAAAGUUGAUAAAUUAGAGGCAUUUGUUAAAAUGGUUGGACGCCAUGUCUCGUUUCUAGAAGAACAAGUGCUUCAAGCGGAGGGGAACCACAGCACUGUGUUUCAUGCUGUUCGCAAACUACUUCAGUCUGCAGCUAUACCUUCUUUUAAAAAUGGUUAAUGCACCUUGUCACUGGCAACUGUUCCAAGAACUACGUGGCUUGCUGGUUUAGUAUCCGCCUGGCUUUAUUCAGAGCUGGGACUGAUGACCAUCUGCUUUUGCUGUCACCAUUUAUUUUUUCUACUACUACUACUUUUAUAUUUAAUUUUUUGCAACUUUUUGUUGUAUUAAAGGUGCCUAUCCCUCCUUCCCUCACAGGUCUGUAUACACACAGGCACUCUAAAACAACAUGAUCAUUGAUGUGAGUGGCUUACUGGUCCAGGCCUAUUCCUCUAACCACCCUCCUCCAGCCUGUGUAGAUUAGCGGCUUCGAGGGCAGUUCAGAGAAUGUGCUGCCACUUAUCCCAGAUGUGUAAACCAAGGGAGUGUCAGCAGAACUGCCCGAACUCAUUUCAUCUGCUGGGUGAAGAGGAGGGAUGGGCAUCUUAGGAAGCCAGUACAUAGGCCAUAGAGGGCUUUAUAAAUCAAUACACCACCUUGAAUUGCCUCAAGAAGCAGAGAGAGAGUAGGGAUACUCUGGGGAAUUAUGUAAUAAGUGCCCCAUACUCCAAAACAAGCACACAGCUUCCUUCGGAGAGCUACCGCAAUUAACUUUGCAGGCAAAAGACGUUAACGUGUAAAGAGAGAAAGUGGUCUAGAUUGAAGUAGGAUUACUAGAGAGAGAACAACCCCCAGGAGCGAAUAGUUACAAGACCAGACCUAUGAGGAAGCCUGCUGGAAGCAUACUCCAGCAGCACAGCAUACAUAUGACCUGCCUAAACUCUACAGAACUGAAGAUUAUUUUCCUAGGAACUAUGUAGGUGC